rnacentral:rRNA from 1 species
AGAGUUUGAUCCUGGCUCAGGACGAACGUUGGCGGCGCGCAUAAUGCAUGCAAGUCGAACGAAGUCCCACCCUUCGGGGUGACGACUUAGUGGCAGACGGCUGAGUAACACGUGAGUGAUCUGCCCUUGGGUGGGGGACAACAGAGAGAAAUUUCUGCUAAUACCCCAUGUGAUUCACAAUCUAGGGUUGUGAAUGAAAGGAGCCGGGUAACCGGUUUUCGCCCUUGGAUGAGCUCGCGGCCUAUCAGGUAGUUGGUGGGGUAAUGGCCUACCAAGCCGAAGACGGGUAGCUGGUGUGAGAGCACGACCAGUCAGAGGGGGACUGAGACACGGCCCCCACUCCUACGGGAGGCAGCAGCAGGGAAUCUUCCACAAUGGGCGAAAGCCUGAUGGAGCGACGCCGCGUGAGGGAUGAAGGCUUUAGGGUCGUAAACCUCUUUUCUCAGGGAAGAGCAAGGACGGUACCUGAGGAAUAAGUGACGGCUAACUACGUGCCAGCAGCCGCGGUAAUACGUAGGUCACAAACGUUGUCCGGAAUUAUUGGGCGUAAAGGGUCCGUAGGCGGUUCGGUAAGUCUCCUGUGAAAUCUUCAGGCUCAACUUGAAGAG